GAUGAAGAACGUAGCGACAUGCGAUAAGUAAUGUGAAUUGCAGAAUUCAGUGAAUCAUCGAGUCUUUGAACGCACAUUGCGCCCCCUGGUAUUCCGGGGGGCAUGCCUGUCCGAGCGUCAUUGCUGCCCUCAAGCACGGCUUGUGUGUUGGGCCUCCGUCCUCCUCCCGGGGGACGGGCCCGAAAGGCAGCGGCGGCACCGCGUCCGGUCCUCGAGCGUAUGGGGCUUUGUCACCCGCUCUGUAGGCCCGGCCGGCGCCUGCCGAUCAACCAAACUUUUUUCCAGGUUGACCUCGGAUCAGGUAGGGAUACCCGCUGAACUUAAGCAUAUCAAUAAGCGGAGGA
rnacentral:misc_RNA from 1 species